ACGAGGAUCAGAUGGGGUGACAUUGACCCUUAGGCUGCCUGGAGAAGGGUGAUUAGGAACAGUUGUGGAGGAGGUGACAUUUUAUCUGAGGACAGGGGAACACAGCUCUGGGGAAAGAGGCCAGGGUGGUGCACAUGAGAGCAAAGGCACUUUGCCCAAAGGAGACUUAAGAAACCUCGGCAUGAGAGGCCACAUAGAGGGAUCCGAUCUUGUGGGUAAAGUUUUGGUGUCGUGUUUAGAACAGGGAAAAUGACUAGAAACGUGGGCACAAAACAUACCAGUAGAUAAGCUACAUUGCCUUCAAUAAACAGGAAUUCAUUCUCCCGGAAGUUUAUCUUUAAAACUCUGAAAGAGGACACGCAGAUCUUUAGGGAGGGAAUGUAGAUAAAACACAGCUUUAGGAAACGGCCUGGCGUCAUUGCGGCGAACAGAGCAAAGGGAAGGUCAGAGGAAGCCUGCUGAACUCAUCUAGGCAGGAGGUUGUAUUGUUCGCGUGAAGAAGUGGCUGCGGGGAUUAUCUCAGGAACAUUUCACAGAGCCGAGGAGGAGACACUCAGAGAGCGAAUCGGGGACACGGGGACAAUUGCUGACGUACCCAAGGCCACAGAGCUGGGGUAUGGUAGAUCAUAGUUUCAGGUCUACCUGGGAAAAAAUCAGUCCAGAUUUCAGUCCACAUUCCACCUGACUCCUGAGUUCUCAUGCAAAGCAGGACAAGGAGCUGGCACUUUUAUAAGUUGGGCAGAACAAUUUCCCCAGACCUGCACGGCACUGGAAAAUCAUACUCCAAAUAACAAAACCCGGCGGUCUUCAUGAAAAGUAAAGAAACCCAUGUGAUUCCCACUUCUCUUUGCAGAAUGGCAAGAAAGUCAGUGAACUGGUGUCUCAUACAAGCAAUAAAUCUUGUGUCUGAAAUAGUA